UACGUAGGGGGCAAGCGUUGUCCGGAAUUAUUGGGCGUAAAGAGCGUGUAGGCGGCCAGAUAAGUCCGCUGUGAAAUCUCGAGGCUCAACUUCGAGCUGUCGGUGGAAACUAUCUGGCUAGAGUCCGGAAGAGGAGAAUGGAAUUCCUGGUGUAGCGGUGAAAUGCGCAGAUAUCAGGAAGAACACCCGUGGCGAAGGCGGUUCGCUGGGACGGUACUGACGCUGAGACGCGAAAGCGUGGGGAGCGAACAGG
rnacentral:rRNA from 1 species